rnacentral:lncRNA from 1 species
GGGGGCAAAAACAAACACGCAAAUCAAGAAUGGAGUGAUUCAUUCUUCUUCAGACAACUGCUGACAUUUUCUUAAAUCAUCCCUGCUUCGUUGCCAUCCCAAAGCAUCAUCAUAGAGGGGAACUGUAGAGAGAUUGGCGUCGUUCAGUGUGUGGACUAACACGGAAUCCCUUUGGAAAAUUAUAGGAGACAAAUAAAGGCCUGCUCAAAUGGAAUAAUCGUGAGAUCGAUCUUAUGUAUAAAACAUGUUGAUUUCUGUGAAUAACUCAGUCUAGUCUGCUCAUUAGCCUCUUGGUAAUGACAUUGCAGGGAAUUUGUUUUUUCUUUUUCUCAUUACGUCAUUUACUUCUACUGC